rnacentral:lncRNA from 1 species
ACUGUGGGACCUUAUAUAGACAGGUGUGUACCUUACCAAAUCAUGUCCAAUCAAUUGAAUUUACCACAGGUGGACUCCAAUCAAGUUGUAGAAACAUCUCAAGGAUGAUCAAUGGAAACAGGAUGCAGAUGAGCUCCAUUUUGAGUCUCAUAGCAAAGGGUCUGAAUACUUAUGUAAAUAACAAUUUAAAUAAAAAUAAAUAUAUAUUUUUGCAAACAUUUCUAAAAACCUGUUUUCGCUUUGUCAUUAUUGGGUAUUGUGUGUAGAUUGAUGAGAUAAAAAUUUAGAACAAAGAUGUAACGUAACAGAAUGUGGGAAAUAAAUGAAGGGGUCUGAAAACUUUCUGAAUGGUUACAAUGCAUGUGGUGCAAGCAAAGGAUUUCGACUGUGAGUCAAUGACACCAACACAGCUUCCAUAAGAACAACCUGCAUGGGCUCUGGGUUGCGUACAUUGUCUGAUGCAAUGUUAAAGUCAUGCAAUAGGAGGACUAUUCUGGGAGACAGGAGCAUACUGCAUUCCAUAAUUCAACAGAACCAGUGGUGUAGUGGUGCCUGGAGAAGUGGGUAUAUACUUGUUAUGCCAACAUCUUUCCAAACAGCCCGCCAGGCAAAGGGAAUUAUAUGAGAAGCAGUGACAUACACUCUGAAUGAUCUAAAUUGAUGAAUCCCAUAUUGGUCUUUCACCGUCAGGCCAACCCAAGCUGUACUGGUCAUAUUGGUCUUUCACAGUCAGGCCAACCCAAGCUGUACUGGUCAUAUUGGUCUUUCACCGUCAGGCCAACCCAAGCUGUACUGUUCAUAUUGGUCUUUCACAGUCAGGCCAACCCAAGCUGUACUGUUCAUAUUGGUCUUUCACCGUCAGGCCAACCCAAGCUGUACUGGUCAUAUUGGUCUUUCACAGUCAGGCCAACCCAAGCUGUACUGUUCAUAUUGGUCUUUCACAGACAGGCCAACCCAAGCUGUACUGUUCAUAUUGGUCUUUCACAGUGAGGCCAACCCAAGCUGUACUGUUCAUAUUGGUCUUUCACAGUCAGGCCAACCCAAGCUGUACUGGUCAUAUUGGUCUUUCACAGUCAGGCCAACCCAAGCUGUACUGUGCAGUAGGCUAACAGUAGACCUACUAUUGAAACCGAAAAACUGAGUCAGAAAUACACAGGUUUCAGAUUUUCCCCAAUUGUUUCAGGUUCUCGUUUUUCAACACAAUAUUUUUAACAGAAAAACAACCAAAGUGUAUGUUCUAAGUCCAUGACUUUUGAGUUAUGGGGGAAAAAUCUAAGAAAAUUCAAUUUUUUUGAGAGUAGUUACCCUUUAAUUGAAGUGUGCAAGUACCUAGCCCUGUUUGACUAGUAGUGUUUCUCUAGCACAUGAGAUGGAGUUUGCAAAAUAAAUGACCACUGUAUUGACUCAGAUAAUCAUGAUAUCAUUCUGACAGGUAGGCAUAGGCUACUUUUUAGCUAGUUAACGUUCAAUAGAGAAGGUUUUUGUGAAGGCCUUUCCAUCUACCAGAAGACGGUUAGGUCUAUCAUUAGCAUUGAUAUGUUUUUCCUGUUCCUUAAUGGUUUGAAACCUGGACGUGUUACUUCAUAUUCUGAGGCAUGUCUUACCUUGCUUCAAAGUAGCCUAUAGCCAAAAUCCCACCAUAGAAACGUUGAGCCACUUAUUUUAUAAAAACUUACUCAUUAUGCGUUCUCUUCUUUUAUUGGUUUUCUUUCAACUUUCUUUAAUUGUCAAGCAGCCAAAGACAUUAUCCGAAUCAUAUUAGCAACCCAUGAUAGUUGUUGCAUCUUCGCCCAUUUCUAACGGAUAUUUCCAUCUUUAUCCAUGAUAGUUGUUGCAUCUUUGUUCCAUUUCUAACGGAUAUUUCCAUCUUUAUCCAUGAUAGUUGUUGCAUCUUUGUUCCAUUUCCAUCUCUACCCAUGAAACCACUUGCAUGUGCGGUGCGCAUUUUAGAAUUGUGUUUUUCGCACAAAUUCCAUUUUGGAACACUCACCCGUAUUCCUACCGCCGUGUGCACAUUGCUGCAAGUAAAAUGUGAAUAAAUAAUAGAUAUCAUCAUUUUAAGCUAAACAUUCCAACCUGUUAAAGCUAAACAUUCCGACCACAUACACAUAUACACACACACACACACACACACACAUACACACAUACACACACACACACACACAUACACAUACACAUACACAUAUACAUGCACA